rnacentral:rRNA from 1 species
GACGAACGCUGGCGGCGUGCCUAAUACAUGCAAGUCGAACGCAGUGGGGACGGGUGAGUAACACGUGGGUAACCUCCCAUCAGAGCGGAUAACACUUGGAAACAGGUGCUAAACCGAUACUGAUGGAUGAACCCGCGGUGCAUUAGCUAGGUGGUGAGGUAACGGCUCACCAAGGCCACGAUGCAUAGCCGACCUGCGAGGUUGAGCGGCCAGCUUGGGACUGAGACACGGCCCAGACUCCUCCGGGAGGCAGCAGUAGUGAAUUUUCGGCAAUGGACGAAAGUCUGACCGAGCAACGCCGCGUGAGUGAAGAAGGUUUUCGGAUCGUAAAACUCUGUUGUUAGAGAAGCGGUAUCUAACCAGAAAGCCACGGCUAACUACGUGCCAGCAGCCGCGGUAAUUC